GGGGCUGACGUGGUUUUGACAGCGAGGUGAACUGGUAGGUAAGCAUGUCGAGCCUUGCAAUACAGCUCGUAAAUCUUGGUUGCAAACAAUCAAAAGGCGAAUCAAACUACGCUCUCGCCGCUUAAGGAAGUAACAGUACUUAGGCACUAUCCCGGCACGAGGUGCUGGGACGAGACAUCACGCCGGAGGUAAGGUCCUGUUCCAUCCGGAUCCCGUGGUGCUCAUCAAUACGGGAAUAGCCAAGGCAAGGCUCCGGUGCCCUGGUGAAAAUAAGGAGAUAAGGUUGUAGUCGGCUGCCGUUUACCAGCCGCAACUCGAAAACCCAAAAACGGAUAAGCAUGUAGAAACCCUAUGGGUUCCUUGUUUGGACCGGGGUUCGAUUCCCCGCAGCUCCACGA
rnacentral:tmRNA from 2 species